rnacentral:rRNA from 1 species
UGAACGCUGGCGGCGUGCCUAAUACAUGCAAGUCGAGCGAACGGACGAGAAGCUUGCUUUUCUGAUGUUAGCGGCGGACGGGUGAGUAACACGUGGAUAACCUACCUAUAAGACUGGGAUAACUUCGGGAAACCGGAGCUAAUACCGGAUAAUAUUUUGAACCGCAUGGUUCAAAAGUGAAAGACGGUCUUGCUGUCACUUAUAGAUGGAUCCGCGCUGCAUUAGCUAGUUGGUAAGGUAACGGCUUACCAAGGCAACGAUGCAUAGCCGACCUGAGAGGGUGAUCGGCCACACUGGAACUGAGACACGGUCCAGACUCCUACGGGAGGCAGCAGUAGGGAAUCUUCCGCAAUGGGCGAAAGCCUGACGGAGCAACGCCGCGUGAGUGAUGAAGGUCUUCGGAUCGUAAAACUCUGUUAUUAGGGAAGAACAUAUGUGUAAGUAACUGUGCACAUCUUGACGGUACCUAAUCAGAAAGCCACGGCUAACUACGUGCCAGCAGCCGCGGUAAUACGUAGGUGGCAAGCGUUAUCCGGAAUUAUUGGGCGUAAAGCGCGCGUAGGCGGUUUUUUAAGUCUGAUGUGAAAGCCCACGGCUCAACCGUGGAGGGUCAUUGGAAACUGGAAAACUUGAGUGCAGAAGAGGAAAGUGGAAUUCCAUGUGUAGCGGUGAAAUGCGCAGAGAUAUGGAGGAACACCAGUGGCGAAGGCGACUUUCUGGUCUGUAACUGACGCUGAUGUGCGAAAGCGUGGGGAUCAAACAGGAUUAGAUACCCUGGUAGUCCACGCCGUAAACGAUGAGUGCUAAGUGUUAGGGGGUUUCCGCCCCUUAGUGCUGCAGCUAACGCAUUAAGCACUCCGCCUGGGGAGUACGACCGCAAGGUUGAAACUCAAAGGAAUUGACGGGGACCCGCACAAGCGGUGGAGCAUGUGGUUUAAUUCGAAGCAACGCGAAGAACCUUACCAAAUCUUGACAUCCUUUGACAACUCUAGAGAUAGAGCCUUCCCCUUCGGGGGACAAAGUGACAGGUGGUGCAUGGUUGUCGUCAGCUCGUGUCGUGAGAUGUUGGGUUAAGUCCCGCAACGAGCGCAACCCUUAAGCUUAGUUGCCAUCAUUAAGUUGGGCACUCUAAGUUGACUGCCGGUGACAAACCGGAGGAAGGUGGGGAUGACGUCAAAUCAUCAUGCCCCUUAUGAUUUGGGCUACACACGUGCUACAAUGGACAAUACAAAGGGCAGCGAAACCGCGAGGUCAAGCAAAUCCCAUAAAGUUGUUCUCAGUUCGGAUUGUAGUCUGCAACUCGACUACAUGAAGCUGGAAUCGCUAGUAAUCGUAGAUCAGCAUGCUACGGUGAAUACGUUCCCGGGUCU